rnacentral:rRNA from 1 species
CCUACGGGGGGCUGCAGUGGGGAAUAUUGGACAAUGGGGGGAACCCUGAUCCAGCCAUGCCGCGUGUGUGAAGAAGGCCCUCGGGUUGUAAAGCACUUUCAGUGAGGAAGAACGCCUGGUGGUUAAUACCCAUCAGGAAAGACAUCACUCACAGAAGAAGCACCGGCUAACUCCGUGCCAGCAGCCGCGGUAAUACGGAGGGUGCGAGCGUUAAUCGGAAUUACUGGGCGUAAAGCGCGCGUAGGUGGCUUGAUAAGCCGGUUGUGAAAGCCCCGGGCUCAACCUGGGAACGGCAUCCGGAACUGUCAAGCUAGAGUGCAGGAGAGGAAGGUAGAAUUCCCGGUGUAGCGGUGAAAUGCGUAGAGAUCGGGAGGAAUAACAGUGGCGAAGGCGGCCUUCUGGACUGACACUGACACUGGGGUGCGAAAGCGUGGGUAGCAAACAGGAUUAGAUACCCGAGUAGUC